rnacentral:misc_RNA from 1 species
GAUAUUGCUGCUGAAGCUUGAAAGUUGCAGACUUAGAACUAGGGUUUCAGCAAGAUGAUCAUUCCAGUGCGCUGUUUCACCUGCGGGAAGGUUAUUGGCAACAAAUGGGAUGAAUACCUUGAUCUUCUCCAAGCUGAUUACGCCGAAGGGGAUGCACUUGAUGCACUGAAUUUGGUUAGAUAUUGCUGUCGUAGAAUGCUUAUGACUCAUGUUGAUCUCAUUGAGAAGCUUCUCAACUACAACACACUGGAGAAAUCUGAGGGAAGUUGAAGCAAUUUCCUGAACUAAUGAGCUCCAAAUGUUUAUAUCUAGACCAUCUACUUCUUAGCUGUAAUUCUCUUUCUAGUUGUAAGGAGGUGAAGUAAAUUGUUCCCAUAUGAAGGGAGUCUUAUGAAUCGUGUAACCAGUAAACAGUGUGAUACUGCAAGCUACUCUUGAUGUUUUGUUGGUUCUGAAUCUCCUGGUUUCCUAUUUAACAAUAUAUAUGCUGGUGUAGUGGCACUCUAAACUUAGAAGUUGAACCUUUUCUACAAAC